UGGAGUGAGUUACUUAGUGGCGGACGGGUGAGUAACGCGUGAGUAACCUGCCUUGGAGUGGGGAAUAACAGGUGGAAACAUCUGCUAAUACCGCAUGAUGCAGUUGGGUCGCAUGGCUCUGACUGCCAAAGAUUUAUCGCUCUGAGAUGGACUCGCGUCUGAUUAGCUGGUUGGCGGGGUAACGGCCCACCAAGGCGACGAUCAGUAGCCGGACUGAGAGGUUGGCCGGCCACAUUGGGACUGAGACACGGCCCAGACUCC
rnacentral:rRNA from 1 species